CCUACGGGUGGCAGCAGUGGGGAAUAUUGGACAAUGGGGGGAACCCUGAUCCAGCCAUGCCGCGUGUGUGAAGAAGGCCCUCGGGUUGUAAAGCACUUUCAGUGAGGAAGAACGCCUGGUGGUUAAUACCCAUCAGGAAAGACAUCACUCACAGAAGAAGCACCGGCUAACUCCGUGCCAGCAGCCGCGGUAAUACGGAGGGUGCGAGCGUUAAUCGGAAUUACUGGGCGUAAAGCGCGCGUAGGUGGCUUGAUAAGCCGGUUGUGAAAGCCCCGGGCUCAACCUGGGAACGGCAUCCGGAACUGUCAAGCUAGAGUGCAGGAGAGGAAGGUAGAAUUCCCGGUGUAGCGGUGAAAUGCGUAGAGAUCGGGAGGAAUACCAGUGGCGGAGGCGGCCUUCUGGACUGACACUGACACUGAGGUGCGAAAGCGUGGGUAGCAAACAGGAUUAGAUACCCGAGUAGUC
rnacentral:rRNA from 1 species